rnacentral:rRNA from 1 species
GACGAACGCUGGCGGCGUGCUUAACACAUGCAAGUCGAACGGUAAGGCCCUUCGGGGUACACGAGUGGCGAACGGGUGAGUAACACGUGGGUGAUCUGCCCUGCACUUCGGGAUAAGCCUGGGAAACUGGGUCUAAUACCGGAUAGGACCACUGCCCGCAUGGGUGGUGGUGGAAAGCUUUUGCGGUGUGGGAUGGGCCCGCGGCCUAUCAGCUUGUUGGUGGGGUGUUGGCCUACCAAGUCGACGACGGGUAGCCGGCCUGAGGGGGUGACCGGCCACAGUGGGACUGAGAUACGGCCCAGACUCCUACGGGAGGCAGCAGUGGGGAAUAUUGCACAAUGGGCGCAAGCCUGAUGCAGCGACGCCGCGUGAGGGAUGACGGCCUUCGGGUUGUAAACCUCUUUCAGCACCGACGAAGCGCAAGUGACGGUAGGUGCAGAAGAAGGACCGGCCAACUACGUGCCAGCCGCCGCCGUAAUAC